rfam:Sistotremastrum niveocremeum HHB9708 unplaced genomic scaffold SISNIscaffold_42, whole genome shotgun sequence.
GGCGGAAUAGCUCAGUUGGGAGAGCAGCAGACUGAAGCGCAGCUAUUUAAUCUGAAGGUCCCCGGAUCGACUCCGGGUUCCGCCA